UCCGUAGGUGAACCUGCGGAAGGAUCAUUAUUGAAUCUAAGCGAGCCUGGCAUUUAUUUUGCAAGGUUUUGCGCGUAUUUAAAACCCCACACUUUUGAAAAUAACAUAUCUUACUUAAAAAUAAGUAAUUAAGAUCACUUUCAACAACGGAUCUCUUGGCUCUCGCAUCGAUGAAGAACGUAGCGAAGUGCGAUAAGUAGUGUGAAUUGCAGAAUUCCGUGGAUCAUCGAAUUUUUGAACGCAAAUUGCACUCUCUGGUAUUCCGGAGAGUAUGCCUGUUUGAGGGUCAUCAAAUAAAAAUCGAUUUUGUUUACCUUGCCGUAACAUUUUCGGAAUUGGGUCAUCUUAAACCUUCGGGUUCAAGAGGCUUAAAAUUGAUCAUUUUUUGGUAUGAUUUUAAGCGUAUUUAAGAUCUCUUAUCACGCGCUUGAUGAGUACCGGAUGUUUAUUAGGCGUGACCACGAUCAUGGUUUCGCGCCCAUAAUCUUUUCAUGAAAAUGACCUCAAAUCAGGUAGGAAUACCCGCUGAACUUAA
rnacentral:rRNA from 1 species